rnacentral:rRNA from 1 species
GGAUAGUUUAGCUGGUAAGUUAAAGUCGAGGUAAGAAUUCUUUGAUGUUCUAGGGGACGAUAAGACCCUAGAAGCUUUAAAAAAAAAUUUUUUUUAGUUGCGGUAUUGAUUUUUUUACUGGGGCGGUACUAGUGUUUUAACUACUAACAGUAAAGGCUGAUCCUUUACAUAAAGAAAGUUCGGUAAAGUUACUCUAGGGGUAACAGUGCGGUAUUUUUGGAAAGGUCUUAUUAAUAAAAGUGUUCGCAACCUCGAUGUUGAAUUAAGAUGUCUACGUGGGGCAGCAAAUAUAGUAGAGGGUUUGUUCAACCUUUAUAGUCUUACAUG